AAUUUUUGACGAGUCAAAUUCAAGCUCAAUUUAAACUUCAUUCAUUAAAUUGUUUUCAAAUCCAACUCUAGCGAGUUUACAGACACAGAAUACAAGCAAAGUAAUAACUGUAUUAGUGGUACAACAGUAACUUACCAAAACAAAACAGACAAUAUCGCAUGAUAUAUAAUCGUCGACUAGUGUACAAUAGUACCUUACCGACCAAGUCCAGCAACUUUGCCCGUUCCUAAACUACUUUGCACUAGAUUCAGCUACAGUUACAUCAGGACACAUUUGGAUUCU
rnacentral:lncRNA from 1 species